rnacentral:lncRNA from 1 species
UCGUCAUCUCUCUCACCCCGUGCUCGUUCUUCAUCUUGUGAUCGUAAAUGUUUAUGGAAAAAUUAAUACUGACCAUUGUCACAACAACAUAGGACAAUCACCACCGGAGUUCAUGUUUCUUCCAUCCGUCUCUCUCAUAAACCCCAAUCACUCACCUCAUCAUUGUCCUCUCCAAAUCUCAUGGCCUGACAACUCCCCCGCUC